GGUAAAGCGUUGAACGGGACGAGUAGGGAAAACGCAGGUCAGGAGCGAGCCGCAUCCGGUGCAAGGCGGCGGCCGUGCAUUCACCGAACAUCACCCGCGAGCGCGUCCGUGAACACAGCGGCGCUGCCGGUAACGGACGACGUGUUUCUCACGUUACAGGGAGACCAGAGCGGACGGGCUUGCGAUGCAGACCCGUCAACACCGGGUGGUACCGCGGAAAGCGUCGGCUUUUCGUCCCGCAA
rnacentral:ncRNA from 1 species